rfam:Myotis davidii contig54788, whole genome shotgun sequence.
GGUGGUUUUCGGGUGACGUCCCCCGGAAUUGGACUCCCUCUCUCUGGUUCCGGGUGCGUCACCUAAGAACCGCA